CCGUGAGCUAUGCUCAGGCACCCAAAAAAUUAGGACAGUUUCGUUAGCCCUAUUGGAUACAAAUCCCUGUUGAGAACUAAGAAUUAAAAUACUUGACACUGCGAUUACUAAUUCAAUAUAUGUCAUUUUCAAUUUUCUUUUAACUAGACAGCUACAAAAGAAUAUUAUACAAGAAUAUGAUGUCUAACUGGGACUCAAAGAAGCCUUCCCUACAAAUUUGUAGAAUACAGAGCUACCAAUG
rnacentral:misc_RNA from 1 species